CCUACGGGCGGCUGCAGUGGGGAAUAUUGCACAAUGGGCGCAAGCCUGAUGCAGCCAUGCCGCGUGUGUGAAGAAGGCCUUCGGGUUGUAAAGCACUUUCAGCGGGGAGGAAGGCGUUAAGGUUAAUAACCUUGGCGAUUGACGUCACCCGCAGAAGAAGCACCGACUAACUCCGUGCCAGCAGCCGCGGUAAUACGGAGGGUGCAAGCGUUAAUCGGAAUUACUGGGCGUAAAGCGCACGCAGGCGGUCUGUCAAGUCGGAUGUGAAAUCCCCGGGCUCAACCUGGGAACUGCAUUCGAAACUGGCAGGCUAGAGUCUUGUAGAGGGGGGUAGAAUUCCAGGUGUAGCGGUGAAAUGCGUAGAGAUCUGGAGGAAUACCGGUGGCGAAGGCGGCCCCCUGGACAAAGACUGACGCUCAGGUGCGAAAGCGUGGGGAGCAAACAGGAUUAGAUACCCGGGUAGUC
rnacentral:rRNA from 1 species